AGUGUGGAGGUGAGAGUCAGAACUUUGAAUGCUGGCACUAUGACUGGUAAAGGGAGAGAGCUGGCUGAUAUGAAGGAGAGAAGGAAGGCAGAUACACUGUGUGUGCAAGAGACCAGGUGGAAGGGGAGUAAGGCCAGGAGCAUCGGAGCUUGACUCACGUGCGCCAUCUAUCGGUGGUUGAAUGUGACCUACUUCCCCACCCGGCCUCAGAGCACAUCUGUCACAUCUGGAUGACAGAAAACUUCACUGACUGACCUGCUUCUGUUGACAAAUAAAUGACGAUCUGAAAGCUUAA